AAACCCACAUAAAAUUUUAAG
rnacentral:snRNA from 1 species